rnacentral:rRNA from 1 species
UGCUCGCCGUAAACUUUUACUUACACCUAAUCGCCAGGGAACUCGAGCCAGCUAAAACCCAAAGGACUUGACGGUACCCCAUAUCCCCCUAGAGGAGCCUGUCCUAUAAUCGAUAAUCCACGUUUAACCUCACCAUUUUUAGUUAAUCAGCCUGUAUACCUCCGUCGUCAGCUUACCACGUGAGCGUCAAUUAGUGAGCCUAAUGUUAUUUCACCAAUACGUCAGGUCAAGGUGCAGCAAAUGAAAUGGGAAGAGAUGGGCUACACUUUCUAUUUUAGAAGAUACGAAAAACUACCUAUGAAAACUAGUUAGAAGGCGGAUUUAGUAGUAAAAAGGAAUCAGCAUGUCCAUUUUAACCUGGCACUGGGGUGUGUACACACCGCCCGUCA